rnacentral:rRNA from 1 species
UACGUAGGGUGCGAGCGUUGCCCGGAUUUAUUGGGCGUAAAGAGCUCGUAGGCGGUUUGUCGCGUCUGCUGUGAAAACUGGGGGCUCAACCCCCAGCCUGCAGUGGGUACGGGCAGACUAGAGUGCGGUAGGGGAGAUUGGAAUUCCUGGUGUAGCGGUGGAAUGCGCAGAUAUCAGGAGGAACACCGAUGGCGAAGGCAGAUCUCUGGGCCGUAACUGACGCUGAGGAGCGAAAGCAUGGGGAGCGAACAGG